AAAGGAAACACAUGGUGUAACGGGUAAACACGCGGAAACAGAGAGAGAGGGGCCAUGUACUGGCUCAACGUUGUAAACGGUCAGCUGUGCCCCGACCGCUUCACCAGACAGUACGCAAGAAGACAAGACCCCCAUUCCCUCAUCUUUGAAGCCAUACUCUAUGGAAACAAGAGCGAGGUCCAACAGUUGAUAUCCGCCGGGGUGGACAAAAAUGUCGUCACACAUCGACACGUGCGCUGGGAGGGCGCGAGUGCGCUUGGCGCAGCAGCUUACGAGGGUCAAAUGGAAAUAGUUAGAUAUCUAGUAGACAUCGGAACAUCAGUGAAUUUCUGUGACCCCUGCCAAAAACGGACGCCGCUACACUGGGCGUGUCUUGGCAACCAGUAUCAGGCGGCCACUUAUCUCGUCACGCGCGGUGCUGACGUCAAUCACAGAGACUUGGAGCAGACGACACCACUUCUUCGCGCUGUUUUAGGAAAGAACGUUGAUUUGGUGAGAUAUUUGAUUGAGAAUGGCGCCGAUGUCCGUCACACUGACGUAUUGGGCUGUUCUAUCCUCCACUACGCCUGCAUUCACGCCGACAACACCCUGAUCAGCGCCGCCAUCAAAGCAGGCUGCAUCUCCAACAAUAUAGCCAUGAUUGGAAAAGGCACGCCGCUACAGACACUAGCUACACAAAACGACACGGGAAGUGUUCGUCUGUUGCUGGAGGCAGGGUAUGACCUCCAGAAUGACCGUCCCUGGGUGAAGUCACUCCCUCCCUUCGUGUUCAAACACGUCAUUGCAACGUGUGGUAAAAUUCAACAGUCAACCAAUGAGUUUAAAAAUACUAUGCAGAAAAACUAUUAGGAAAGCAAUGGGAGGAGUAAAACUGGAACAGAGAUUGAACAAAAUUCCAUGUCCAAACUUAAUUCACCAUUACCUUACGCUUGAUGGUCUUUGAUUUGACCAGUUUUUGUUUCAAAAUUCAUUGUUUAACAUGCUUGUUUUGAGCCUUUAUUAUGAGUAAAAAAUUUUAAAG
rnacentral:sRNA from 1 species